rnacentral:rRNA from 1 species
UCCUACGGGAGGCAGCAGUGGGGAAUUUUCCGCAAUGGGCGAAAGCCUGAGGGAGCAAUGCCGCGUGGAGGUAGAAGGCCCACGGGUCGUGAACUUCUUUUCCCGGAGAAGAAGCAAUGACGGUAUCUGGGGAAUAAGCAUCGGCUAACUCUGUGCCAGCAGCCGCGGUAAUACGUACGUGCCAGCAGCCAUAAUUAAUACGUACGUGCCAGCAGCCGCGGUAAUACAUACGUGCCAGCACCGCGGUAAU